CUUCAUCCAGACUCCGAGCUCUGCCACGAUCAGCAAAGACCUGCCCAUCAAAGCCACCAAUAACUGCACCGCCGGCGCGACCAGUAACCCGAUCAAUAGCCACGCUCCCAGCGCCGUUGCCAAAUCCACCUUCCCACUGGCCAGCACUCCUUUCAUCCGAAUGAAGGACCAGGACGCGAUUAAACUCUUCAUCGGGCAGAUUCCCAGGAACCUCGAAGAGAAAGACCUGAAGCCUUUAUUCGAGGAGUUUGGGAAAAUUUAUGAGCUUACGGUGCUGAAAGACAGAUACACCGGGAUGCACAAAGGUUGCGCCUUCCUGACGUAUUGUGCAAGGGAGUCUGCGUUGAAAGCACAGAUGGCGCUACAUGAACAGAAGACACUGCCUGGGAUGAAUCGGCCCAUCCAGGUGAAGCCAGCGGACAGUGAAAGUCGAGGAGAGGACCGGAAGCUCUUUGUGGGAAUGCUGGGGAGGCAACAGACCGACGAGGACGUCCGGAAAAUGUUUGAGGGUUUUGGGACCAUUGAGGAGUGCACGAUCCUGCGAGGACCAGACGGCGUCAGUAAAGGUUGUGCCUUUGUGAAGUUCCAGACGCAUGCAGAAGCGCAGGCGGCAAUCGUUGCUCUGCAUGGGAGCCGAAUGUUGCAGGGAGCGUCAUCGAGCCUAGUGGUCAAGUUUGCGGACACGGACAAGGAGCGCGGCCUCCGGCGGAUGCAGCAGCUGGCCGGGCAGCUGGGGGUCUUCGCCCCCAUGGCCAUACAAUUCGGUGCAUACGGCGCUUACACGCAAGCGCUGAUGCAACAGCAGGCAGCGCUGAUGGCUGCCACGCAGUCCACCUACCUUAACCCCAUGGCCACUGCCGUCCAGAUGCAGCAGGUAGCAGCCAUCAACGCCAGCAGCCUGAUCGCCAGCUCGCUGACGCCAGCCUCGGGAAGCAGCACUCCCCCAGGAAUUUCAGCGGCCCAGGUCCCUGCCAUUGCCGCCCCCCUCGCCAUCAACGGUUACAGCCAGAUCACCGCGCAGACUAACGGUCAGACACCCUCCGAAGCCAUCUACACCAACGGUGUUCAUUCUUAUCCAGCACAAAGCCAAGCGUCUGGCCCGACUGCCAUGGAUCCCCUACAACAGGCGUACGCGGGCAUGCAGCACUACACAGCAGCCUACCCAGCCUACCCAGCCACCUACGGCGUUGUCAGUCAAUCGUUUCCGCAGCCGGCUCUUGUAUCUCAGCAGCAGCGGGAGGGCCCAGAGGGCUGCAACAUCUUCAUCUACCACCUGCCCCAGGAAUUCACCGACUUCGAGUUGCUGCAGAUGUUCCUGCCAUUCGGCAAUGUCAUUUCCGCCAAGGUGUUUGUCGACCGCGCCACCAAUCAGAGUAAAUGUUUCGGGUUCGUCAGCUUCGACCACCCAGCCAGUGCUCAGACCUCCAUCCAGGCCAUGAACGGCUUCCAGAUCGGCAUGAAAAGGUUAAAAGUGCAGCUGAAGAGGCCGAAGGACGCCAACAGGCCGUACUAGAGCAGCAGUAAAGCCCCCAAACCCAAGGGUGGUGCCCGAGAGGGGGGUGGGAGGAAAGUCACUCUCCACACAAACCAAUCUGUUCCUUUAAACACAAAAGCGUAUUGGGGACAAGAGGGGACCCGCACUCAACACCCCUCUCGGCCGGUGCCCAGCAGGCCCGUGGGUGUCGCUGGAGGCUCGUAGGUCCCGCCUUGGCUGAACUCACUGCAGACUGAAGAAGCCAACUUUGUCCCCACCCCACCCUUCCCAUAGCAGGUUCUGCCACCCCCACCCUCCCCCACCCCCCGAACCGGUUCCUGGCAUGACGACAGAUCAACGGAGACUCCUCGCUGGAGAGCCCAGCGGAUUCCACGGGCGAGCGCCCAGUGCCAGAACGGAGCAGAUGAGCCACCAUCUCCCCCCCACCCCCCUCACCCAGGCAUUAUCACAUGGGGGUGGUACCGUGACCUGGGGUCCCAACGCACUGCCUGGGACAGAGAGGUCACACACAGGAGUCAUGGUGUGAGAGAGAGAGAGAGAAAGAGAGAGAGAGAGACAGCAAAGCGUUCUAACCUUAAGGACGUGGUCAACAAUCUCCCUCUCUCCGAGGGGUCUUAGCAUCUCACCCCCUCCCUCCCCACUGUAGCCCCUUUGUGCGUGCGUGUGUGUGGGGAACAGCUGCCCACUCCCCCCACCCUGCUACUGCUUCAGACAUCAACAGUCCGUGAGGUGGUGGGGGGGCUGGGGGUGAGGGGAGACACUCCCUCUCCCUCCCUAGAGCAAAGUGGACGGGGAGAGGCUACAGCGACUGCCCCGGAUCCGGUUCCCCAGGACCUGACCGGGGAGUUCAUCACCACUGUCACGGGAUAUCGAGACCCUGCCGGGAAUGCAAGGCUGGAGCGUUUCCCCUUUCCACCCCAGGGAGCGGACCGCCUGCACGCUCGGACACGCACCUUCCAACCAGACAGGGUGGGUGUAAAGGGGAAGUUGUGGGAGGGAGACUGGGCAAGUAUACAACAACCCGGCUUCACAUUCACCGACGGGGCGUCGGCAUCUGCUGGAAAAACAGUCUGCUCUUCACCCUCUUUCUGGAACCUAUUUAAUAUUUAUUGUACAUAAUCAAAUGGAUUAAAUUAAUUCCAGCCUGAAUCUAACUAAUUCCAUGUUGCCAGAUGGUGGCGCCGAGAAUGUAUGAGCGAGAGGCUUGUAUUUACACAGGGGUGGCAAAUCAAAACCCCACAGUAUCCACCAUGUAUACACCUUCUGUUAUGUUAGCAGAGUGUGUCACUCAGGCGUUGUAUCCAGACCUCUCUACGUGCAAUGCCUUUUCAAACGGAACAGGUUUAGAAAAAUUUCAGGGUUUAAUAAAUCUGGAAUCGGGUUCUGAUUUUAAGGUCUUAAUUUAUUGUUAAUUUAUUCUCUUUUAUUUAAAAUCGACAAAGGCAAUUUUGUUUUUUGCUCUUUUAAUUGUAUUCAAUAAAGAAUUUCCAAAAACCUAACCUACUUUUUAAUGUGCGUCCAACCCGGAGCUUUGCAGCUCCCCACACCACCACCCCCGGCUCCCCUCAGGCAUUUUACACAGGAAGAUCACUACAAAGACGCCAGGGUAACUUCAACCAAAUUUAUUUUUCAUAAAACGAGACUUGUGUGUAAAAUAUAUAUCUUUUAAAUUGCUUGCCAGCUUUCCUUCUUGUAAAAAAUAAAUUAUACCAGAGGGAAAUAGUAAUAAUACAGGGUUAAUAAUGUGUGCAGGCCGGCAGUCAACUUUGGGCCUUAUGGGGGGAACGUUUCUGCAGUGAAGGUCCCACUCACAAGUUUGAAAUACGUUCACAUAAACAAGACCCACAGGUGAAAGACGCCCAGAGCUGAUUACAUACACCGCUUGCUUAUACCAGUUCACACAGAGACAGGAACAUUCAUUAUUUUGUGGUGUUGACAACAACCUCCUCUUCAAAUAUUCCUUUGUUUAAGACCUCCAGAGCCCCCACCUUCCACUUGAGCUCAGCGUUUGGAAAGGGCACAGGGGUAAGGGCCAUCCCCACCCUCAUCUCCACCACACCCCUGGGAACCAGCUGCCAUACCAGUACCAGUAUCUUCAAUGACAAACCCCAUUCCGUGUAGUAUCAUCAGUAGGCAAGGCCAUCAACACAGAGCACCAGUUUAACGUGUCCAGUGGUAGGAAAAGGCUGUCUCUCUCACACACACACACACACACACACAGACCCAGGGAAGGUACAGCACGGGUCAGGGCGAAGCUCCCUCCCCGCCAUCCCAUCACAAGGUCCCAGGGUCAGACACGGAGCGAGUCUCCCUGCAUAGCAGGGGUUCCCGACCUGGAGUCGAUGGUAUUAAAACAAAAGGCUGGGAAGCCCCUGGCCUGCACUGUGCCUUCACACACUCCUGAGGGGCAGAGGUAGUCUCACUACCUGACACUCUCAGCGACCGGAGAGUUUCAGUGGUUAAAUAUGCAGCUGGCCCCAACUGAGACUCACCUGCCCUCAGAAACAACCUCAAAAAGGCAAUCUUACCAACAACAGCCACUUACCGAGAAGGAGUUAUUAACGGUGAGAACAACCUCCUGAAAGCAAAACUAUUUUGGAAUGACUGAAGGGACCUCUGUACCACACCACGAGUGGGUUGCAGGUGGGGAGCUUCCUGCAUCUGAUCACCACCCAAGGGUGGGUCUAACCUGCUCGGGAUGGCGAUGCACCAAGCAGAGACCCUGAGGUGUUUAACUGAAGGGAAAGUUUACAAAUUAAUGAUUUCCAUGCUGCAAUUCCUUUGAAAUAGUUCCCAGCAACGGGUAACAGAAGCCACUGAUUUGUAUUUUAUGGCAGAAGAACAAGGGAAGCAGAGAGGUUUUGCUGAGCGAACAGUGACUGAGGAAGCUGAUUGACCAGGAUAUGAGACAUUGAGGUGGGCAAGGGUGCGGGACAGUGAAAGUGAUCUGGCCACUCGACUGUCUGACCUGUGUCCCUCUCCUCCCACUGUGCCCUGCCCUGAGGGCCCACACUCGAACCGGGGGCCACGGCGGGGCAGGUCUGGUGGUAAAUGUUCACGAGAGUCAUCAGGUUGGAAAUGUGAGGAGAAGCAUCCCCACAGACGUUCUACUUCAAGGGAGGAGAGGGUAGGUAGUCAUGGGGAAGGAGAGGAAGGGAGAGUGGGAGGGAGAGGCAGGGGAAUGGAGGAAAGGGGAGGGGAGUGUGGAGGAAGAGGGAGCAGGGAGAGGGGAAGAAAUGGAGGAGAGGGGAGGGGAGAGGGUGUUGGCAGUGGAGGAACAGGUUGGAGGGGUAGGGUAGGGGAGGGGAAGGGAGGGAGGAGGAGGAAGGAAGGAGGGAGGGGAGGAGGGAGAGGAGGAGGGAGAGGAGGAGGGAGAGGAGGAGGGAGAGGAGGAGGGAGAGGAGGAGGGAGAGGAGGAGGGAGAGGCAGGGGAAGUGGAGGAAAGGCUAGGGGAGCGUGGAGGAAGAGGGAGCAAGGAGAGGGGAGGGGAGGGAAG